AGCGAACGCUGGCGGCAGGCCUAACACAUGCAAGUCGAACGAAGUCUUCGGACUUAGUGGCGGACGGGUGAGUAACACGUGGGAACGUACCUUUUGGUUCGGAACAACUCAGGGAAACUUGAGCUAAUACCGGAUGAGCCCUUAGGGGGAAAGAUUUAUCGCCGAAAGAGCGGCCCGCGUUAGAUUAGCUAGUUGGUGAGGGAAAGGCUCACCAAGGCUACGAUCUAUAGCUGGUCUGAGAGGAUGAUCAGCCACACUGGGACUGAGACACGGCCCAGACUCCUACGGGAGGCAGCAGUGGGGAAUCUUGAGCAAUGGGCGAAAGCCUGACGCAGCCAUGCCGCGUGAAUGAUGAAGGUCUUAGGAUUGUAAAAUUCUUUUACCAGGGACGAUAAUGACGGUACCUGGAGAAAAAGCCCCGGCUAACUUCGUGCCAGCAGCCGCCGUAAUAC
rnacentral:rRNA from 1 species